GCCCGGGUAAGGGCUGAACGCGGAGCCCGACGCCGAGCGCGCCAGCUCCUCGCUGCGCGGCGCCGCCAGUGCCGACGCGCCGUACGCUGGGCACGAGUAAAGCGCCAGCGAGCCGGGCGCCUGAUACAGCCGCUGACCCGCCCCCCAGAUCAGCUCGAAAUGAUUAGGCUAGAGGCCGCCUGCAUUCUGGCCAGGCUGGUCCGCUCGGGGGACGAAGGGCCUGAGCCCCCCUCUUCACCGGGAAUAGGCCCACCCAGGUGACUUCUCUCAGGGCCCCAGUGUCCCAGCCGACAGCUUACGGGGUGAUGGGGGGCGCUAAACGGUGGCCCCGGCGGCCCGGGUCUUCCUGGGGGUGGCGUGCGCGGCUCUCACUUCCACCUUGCUGAGUCUACUCUGCCUCACUGUGGGAGGCGCCCCGCGUGGCCUUGAGUCUGGUCACCUACCCCGCGCCGACCAGCGUGUCCCCGCAGGACCCGGAUCCGGGGCGCCUUCGUUGCGAACUGCCUGCCAGGAGCGCCUAGAGGGGAAUGACUGUCACUGGACAGACGACCUUCUCUGAGAGGACAUGAAGCCUCGCUGUCACUUGGGCAGGAAGGAGAAAGCUGGUGGCUCCGGAGCAGUUGGCAGCGCAGGUAGCUCAGGGUCCCGCAGAAGUGGAGGCCAGGAAUCACCGUAGGGCACUCCCAGGGGCUCCACAGGGAACCUCGUGUGUGCAGGCCUGAAUGUCGGCGCCCACCCAACAGGACUCCGAGUCGCACGGGCGCAGAGCGAGGCUGCAGCGCAUGAUCGAUAGGCUCCAGUCGCCACCGGAACCUUCCAGGCACAGGCUGAGUUUGAUCGUCAUCGGGUCCAAGGGAACCAGUUGCAGAUUGUCCUCCUUGGCCUGCAGGCUUGUAGUGUGAAAAAGGAAAGGGAAAGAGAGCCCAAGAGAGGCCCCUGCCGCUUUGUGGAGCAUGCCACCGACGGGUUUAGGACAUUGUUGGUCUUGGGAAUUCAGCCAGGGAGAAGCCUUAAAAGAGUCACACACACUCGGAUGACAAGCACUGGCAGCAACAGAUCAGAUUGCAGCCAUUCAAUUUGCUUCCAAUUAAAUAGUUUAAGUGCAGAAAAUCAGGUCUAACUUUUUAUCUUAAAGACUGGCCUUGAGAAUUUCCAUUUCUAAAGACCAAUUCCUGCUGUGGUUUCAUUAGCAUUUGGGGCUGGGCCUCCCACCCAUCCCCUUGUCCCCCAAUCCGUCUCUGCCUCCGGGCAGAAAAGAAAACAGCGAAUUAUAACAAAAACAUCCCCAGUUUGGAGCAGGAGCUUAAGCUGGGAAUACAGUCGAUUUUGACAUCAAUUAAAUAUCUAACCAGACAAGUGCACGUGGCUUUGGAGGGUUUCUCAGUCACCCAGGUGGCCGCUGCAUUUAGGACAAGGCGGCGUGGACGUGCGCGUCUCAAGAAGCCGAGUUCCCCACGAGGCCAAGCACGAAGAAACGCCAAAAACGCGGCCAGGACUUCAGGGCCAACCGGGAAAGCGGCAGUCGCGGGCCCAGGCGCUCUGCAGACGCGGACCUUGCCGGCUGUCUGGCCGCGGGGAGGCCGGAGCGGCGCGGGCCCGAAGUCUUGCGCGCGGGCGGCGAGGGGGCGCUGUGGCCCGCGGCUGAGGCCUCGUCCCUGCUGCGGUGGCCCCAGCAACGUUCCAGGCCACCGACGGGCGGCGGGCGCCCCUGCCCUGGCGCGCGACCUACCCCUUUCCACUUAGGUUUAAUUCGGGGAAGAAGAACAGUUAUAUCAGGCAUUGCAAUAAAGCUUACUCCGCAUA